AGAGUUUGAUCCUGGCUCAGGAUGAACGCUAGCGACAGGCCUAACACAUGCAAGUCGAGGGGCAGCGGAGAGGUAGCAAUACCUUUGCCGGCGACCGGCGCACGGGUGAGUAACACGUAUGCAAUCCACCUGUAACAGGGGGAUAACCCGGAGAAAUCCGGACUAAUACCCCAUAAUAUGGGCUCUCCGCAUGGAGGGUCCAUUAAAGAGAGCAAUUUUGGUUACAGACGAGCAUGCGCUCCAUUAGCCAGUUGGCGGGGUAACGGCCCACCAAAGCGACGAUGGAUAGGGGUUCUGAGAGGAAGGUCCCCCACAUUGGAACUGAGACACGGUCCAAACUCCUACGGGAGGCAGCAGUGAGGAAUAUUGGUCAAUGGACGAGAGUCUGAACCAGCCAAGUAGCGUGAAGGAUGAAGGUCCUACGGAUUGUAAACUUCUUUUAUAAGGGAAUAAAACCUCCCACGUGUGGGAGCUUGUAUGUACCUUAUGAAUAAGCAUCGGCUAACUCCGUGCCAGCAGCCGCGGUAAUACGGAGGAUGCGAGCGUUAUCCGGAUUUAUUGGGUUUAAAGGGAGCGCAGACGGGUCGUUAAGUCAGCUGUGAAAGUUUGGGGCUCAACCUUAAAAUUGCAGUUGAUACUGGCGUCCUUGAGUGCGGUUGAGGUGUGCGGAAUUCGUGGUGUAGCGGUGAAAUGCUUAGAUAUCACGAAGAACUCCGAUUGCGAAGGCAGCACACUAAGCCGUAACUGACGUUCAUGCUCGAAAGUGUGGGUAUCAAACAGGAUUAGAUACCCUGGUAGUCCACACGGUAAACGAUGGAUACUCGCUGUUGGCGAUAUACGGUCAGCGGCUUAGCGAAAGCGUUAAGUAUCCCACCUGGGGAGUACGCCGGCAACGGUGAAACUCAAAGGAAUUGACGGGGGC
rnacentral:rRNA from 1 species